rnacentral:rRNA from 1 species
AGAGUUUGAUCAUGGCUCAGGAUGAACGCUAGCUACAGGCUUAACACAUGCAAGUCGAGGGGCAGCAUGAACUUAGCUUGCUAAGUUUGAUGGCGACCGGCGCACGGGUGAGUAACACGUAUCCAACCUGCCGAUGACUCGGGGAUAGCCUUUCGAAAGAAAGAUUAAUACCCGAUGGCAUAGUUCUUCCGCAUGGUAGAACUAUUAAAGAAUUUCGGUCAUCGAUGGGGAUGCGUUCCAUUAGUUUGUUGGCGGGGUAACGGCCCACCAAGACUACGAUGGAUAGGGGUUCUGAGAGGAAGGUCCCCCACAUUGGAACUGAGACACGGUCCAAACUCCUACGGGAGGCAGCA